rnacentral:rRNA from 1 species
UACGGAGGGUGCAAGCAUUAAUCGGAAUUAUUGGGCGUAAAGGGCGCGUAGGCGGAUUAGUAAGUCAGAUGUGAAAUACCGAGGCUCAACUUCGGUGCUGCAUUUGAAACUACUAAUCUAGAGGAUAGAAGGAGAAAACGGAAUUCCACGUGUAGCGGUGAAAUGCGUGGAUAUGUGGAAGAACACCUGUGGCGAAAGCGGUUUUCUAUUUUAUUCCUGACGCUGAGGCGCGAGAGCAAGGGGAGCAAACAGG